rnacentral:lncRNA from 1 species
GCCUUUAUAGGAUGUCAUAUAAAUGAGCCUGGCUUCUUUCACCCACCAUAAUGCAUUUGAGAUUCAUCUAUCUUGUUGAAUACAUCUGUAGUUAGGCUUGUUACUCACAGAAUCAACUAGAGGUUAUGAGACAUGAACAGCUGGCUAUAGAGAUUAUGUCAAAGAAAAUAAUAUGCUUUAUUUUUAAGAUCAUGACUUAUGACACCAAAAUGAAAUGCUCUUGGCAAGGAAUAGAAAUACUGCCCUUGGAGGUUAUUAGGUAUAAACUAGCUGGGGGGGACAGAAGCAAUGGAGAAGAUGCCAAGUAAUUUAUAAAACGAAAUAACAGAGAAUAGAAUCAUAGGGUAAAUCUGACAUCUUCAGAGUGACUAUAGCAAUGAAAGAAGUAUGUGUAAUAAACAAAAUGAACUUGAGACAUUUAACCCAAUGAAAUCCAUACAAGGUCAUGAAUGCCACUGAGAGUAGGUAGGAUUGUUGACAAAUGAUGAUAAAAGGAGAAAAUAUCCAGCUUUAAGGGAAAAGAUAACGCUCAGAGAAGGAAGUAUUGGGGAAAAGGACAGCUCUAUAUUUCAAGAAUGUCUAAACCUAAAUGGAAGCUCAGGAAGCUAGAUCAGAAUAUCACACUGUCAAACAUUUGGAUGAGGAUGCAGGAAUGCCAAGUAUACAUGGUACUGUAACUGUGCCAAUCAGAGAUAGGAUUUAGCCAUAGCAUAAGAGGAAAAAUGCCAUCAUGUGUUUGAGGAACAUGACUGUCACCUACUAGCAACUUACUCUUUCAGGAGGUCAAACACAUCACAAGAUUUUUCAAUCAGGAUGAAUAGAGGCAGGAGGAAUAGUGAGAAAAGAGGUUAGGGAGUUGUGGGGAUGUGAAGGUUAAAGAGAAUAAGGCACACUCAAUAAAUGAUUCUUCCUCCAUUAUAUUCUACCCAAUGCCAUAUCCCUGAACCCACCCAAUACAUCAGCUCAGCUGUCCACAUUCCCAGUGCACUAGCCUUGAUUCUGGGCCAUAUUCUAAACACUACUUUCAGUUUGGCAC